rnacentral:rRNA from 1 species
UACGUAGGGGGCAAGCGUUGUCCGGAAUCAUUGGGCGUAAAGCGCGUGUAGGCGGCUUGGUAAGUCUGGUGUGAAACCUCGGGGCUCAACCCCGAGCCUGCACUGGAUACUGCCUCGCUUGAGUCCGGGAGGGGAGAGCGGAAUUCCUAGUGUAGCGGUGAAAUGCGCAGAUAUUGGGAAGAACACCGGUGGCGAAGGCGGCUCUCUGGACCGAGACUGACGCUGAGGCGCGAAAGCGUGGGGAGCAAACAGG